rnacentral:rRNA from 1 species
ACGCUCGACACCUACGGAGGCAGCAGUGGGGAAUAUUGCACAAUGGGGGAAACCCUGAUGCAGCGACGCCGCGUGAGCGAAGAAGUAUCUCGGUAUGUAAAGCUCUAUCAGCAGGGAAGAAGAUGACGGCACCUGACUAAGAAGCACCGGCUAAAUACGUGCCAACAGCCGCGGUAAGUCUGAGCGGGCGUGGCGAAGGACG